ACGUGCUGCAUCAGGUGCUAGUGACU
rnacentral:miRNA from 12 species